rnacentral:lncRNA from 1 species
UUGGAAGAGAGGAUAAGUACUGGGGGGUCAAAUGGAUUUCAUUUUGGGAUUCCUUCUGAAAUGUUCCUGAAUGUUAAGCAAAAAUGUAGUUAGGCAAACAUGUAGCAGGUUUACCACAUGAGUGCAUUUUUUAAACUGUAAGCAUAAUUAUGUAUUCAAAAUAACUUGUCUAAUUGAUUGGCAACCUGAUAUAAUUGAAAGUUCACUGAGACAAGAACCAGAAGAUUGUUUCUGUGUAGAAGACUGUGCUUCUGAGUUAAGCUGACUAGUAUUUGACUCUCAAGUUUGAUUUUCAUUCCCUUUAACAAUGUGACUUCAUAAGCAUUAUUUUUUCAUCUAUAAAUAUUAGAAUUAAUUGUGAGAAUGGGAGCAAAGUGCCUAGCUCCCUCCCUGAUAUAUUUCAGGUUUAUUACAAAUGUUACUCGCUAUUUUUUCUCUUACUUGUGUCUCAUCUUGUGUAAAUUGCUUCACCUCUCUGGACCCAUUUCUUUAUCUGAAAAACCAAGGGCUUAGUUUGGAUGACCUCAAGUUCUUCCUAUAAUUCUAUGAUUCAACUAUGUACAACUUGGGAUGGCAUGGCCAUGUAAGCAGAGGUUGCAAAACCAGGAUUCAGUAUCAGGCAAAUAAAAUCAAUGUGUAAAACUGUGUAAUGAAAAACAAGGGGGAAUGAUAAACUAAAGAAUACAUAGACCUGCCUAAAAACAUUAAAAAAUCUAAAGCAUUAAAAUAGUGUGCCUGCCAAACCAAAUAUAUUCUUGGGUCAAAUUUGAAUUCUUGGCUCAAAGGUUUCCAAUUUCCAAUCAAGAGCUUUUAAACAUUGACCUCCAUCACCCCACCAGCACCCCAGAUUGUUGACAGGGCAGUCAGAGAAUGGAUCAAUCAUAAUCUUAAAUCAAACUGAUCAAUUACAGUCUAUGCAAGAAUUUUUUAUGGCAGCUGUCAUCUCUAGAAAAAUAUACAUUUGGAGCCACCCAGAUCAUGUCAAGGAGGAAGGGAGAAUUGGGAAGACCAAAUCAGAAAAGAACCAAGCAUAGUUUUUGUUUCUGGCUAAGCCGUGGUUUGGCUGUGAAGAUAUGACUUCACAGCAUCCUAUUGAGAAUCACGUCUUUGCAGUGGAUAUUUUUUUUUCUUCCCUGCCAUGAACGUGUCUGAGAACCAUAGCAGUUUUCACAGAAGAAAAUUAACUAAUUCAUUAUUGCUUAUAAUUUGCUGAGGCAUAGCUGCCAUAUUUGUAAAAUCAGCA